AGUGAACGCUGGCGGUAGGCCUAACACAUGCAAGUCGAACGGCAGCACAGUAAGAGCUUGCUCUUACGGGUGGCGAGUGGCGGACGGGUGAGGUAUACAUCGGAAUCUACUUUUUCGUGGGGGAUAACGUAGGGAAACUUACGCUAAUACCGCAUACGACCUACGGGUGAAAGUAGGGGUUCUUCGGACCUUGUGCGAUUUAAUGAGCCGAUGUCGGAUUAGCUAGUUGGCGGGGUAAAGGCCCACCAAGGCGACGAUCCGUAGCUGGUCUGAGAGGAUGAUCAGCCACACUGGAACUGAGACACGGCCCAGACUCCUACGGGAGGCAGCAGUGGGGAAUAUUGGACAAUGGGCGCAAGCCUGAUCCAGCCAUACCGCGUGGGUGAAGAAGGCCUUCGGGUUGUAAAGCCCUUUUGUUGGGAAAGAAAAGCAGCAGGUUAAUACCCCGCUGUUCUGACGGUACCCAAAGAAUAAGCACCGGCUAACUUCGUG
rnacentral:rRNA from 1 species